rnacentral:lncRNA from 1 species
UUUUAAUAAUAUAUUUUAUUUAACCUGAUAUAUCCAAAAUAUUACCAUAUUAACAUGUGGUCAAUAUAAAAAUUAUUAAUGAGAUAUUUUACAUUCUUUUUUUUGUACUAAGUCUUUGAAAUCUGGUGGGUAUCUUACACUUCAGGUGUAUCUCAAUUCACACAAGCCACAUUUCAGGUACCUGAUAGCCACGUGUGCCUGGUAUCAAGUGCACUGAACUGUGCAAGACCCUUGCUACUCAAAGCGCUGGCAUCACUUGGGAGCUUGCUAGAAAUGCAGAAUUUCAGGCCCUUCUCUAGCUCCACUAAGUCAGAGUCUGCAUUUUUACAAGAUCCCAGGGGAUUUAUAUAUGCAUUAGUCUGAGAAAAUGGGUCCAGUUCUGCCCAGAACACUUCUGUGGCUUUCUAUUGCCCUCAUGAUAAAUGCCCAGCUCCUGACCUUGGCAAUCACUCACUCAUUCAUGCGUUCAUCACCACCAUUGAGCACCUACUGAGUCCCAGGCCCUGUACUGGGUGACGCCGGGGACACAGCAGGGAUAAAGACAGACUUGAUUCCUGCUCUCAUGGAGCCCCCAGGCCAUGAAUCCAGAAGUACCCAAGUCCCUGUUUCAUUUUGACUACGGUAAGGAUAGUGUGCUUGAAGUGAAGUUACAGAGUGCAAGUUCAGGAGGCCUGACCUGGUUUGAGUGGAGGGGGCAUCCAGAAAAUAAUCCAAAUAAGGGAAGAGGCCACUAUCAUGGCAAAAUGCCACAAGCAGAUUAAAUGUCUCAUUGCAGAGGGCGGGCCAGCCAAGCUUGUCCACACUCACUAAGAGGGAUCAUUUUCAGGUUUUGGAGCAACCAGGAGAAAGGCCUGGGGGAUAGGGUUACAGGAGUCGAGCCAGGGACAGAGGCGGGUCACACACAGAUCCAUCUGCAUUUGGAAAAUGAGAGGAAAGGGAAGAGAGAACCAAGAAGGUGGUCAUUUGCCAGCAGGGGUAGGACUUAGGGACAGAAACUGCAGGCGAUCUUUUGCUUAAAAAAAAAAAAAAAAAAAAAAAAGCAGGGGGGUCUUCUAAUAAAACAUAUCUGGGUUUGCUUUAAAGUAACUGAGCCAGGGAGCAAAUGUGCAGCCAGAGUGGCCACAAUGGAUGAAGCCGGGAGAUAGGGACAUGGGCAUCCACUAGACUUUUCUCUCUGCUUUUGUGUUUGUUUGAAAUUUUCCCUAAAAGCAAAACAAGUUAAGUGUUGUUCUUUACAAAUGAUUGGG